rnacentral:pre_miRNA from 1 species
AGCCGCUGCCACAUUGCACAGCAGUGCAGUCGAGAAUUGUUGUGCGUGCGACAGCGACUUC